AUUGAACGCUGGCGGCAGGCCUAACACAUGCAAGUCGAGCGGAUGAAGGGAGCUUGCUCCUGGAUUCAGCGGCGGACGGGUGAGUAAUGCCUAUGAAUCUGCCUGGUAGUGGGGGAUAACGUCCGGAAACGGGCGCUAAUACCGCAUACGUCCUGAGGGAGAAAGUGGGGGAUCUUCGGACCUCACGCUAUCAGAUGAGCCUAGGUCGGAUUAGCUAGUUGGUGGGGUAAAGGCCUACCAAGGCGACGAUCCGUAACUGGUCUGAGAGGAUGAUCAGUCACACUGGAAGUGAGACACGGUACAGACUCCGACGGGAGGCAGCAGUGGGGAAUAUUGGACAAUGGGCGGAAGCCUGAUCCAGCCAUGCCGCGUGUGUGAAGAAGGUCUUCGGAUUGUAAAGCACUUUAAGUUGGGAGGAAGGGCAGUAAGUUAAUACCUUGCUGUUUUGACGUUACCAACAGAAUAAGCACCGGCUAACUUCGUG
rnacentral:rRNA from 1 species